rnacentral:rRNA from 1 species
AACGAACGCUGGCGGCAGGCCUAACACAUGCAAGUCGAGCGGACCUUUCGGGGUCAGCGGCGGACGGGUGAGUAACGCGUGGGAAUAUGCCCUUCUCUACGGAAUAGUCCUGGGAAACUGGGGGUAAUACCGUAUACGCCCUUUGGGGGAAAGAUUUAUCGGGGAAGGAUUAGCCCGCGUUGGAUUAGGUAGUUGGUGGGGUAAUGGCCUACCAAGCCGACGAUCCAUAGCUGGUUUGAGAGGAUGAUCAGCCACACUGGGACUGAGACACAGCCCAGACUCCUACGGGAGGCAGCAGUGGGGAAUCUUAGACAAUGGGGGCAACCCUGAUCUAGCCAUGCCGCGUGAGUGAUGAAGGCCUUAGGGUUGUAAAGCUCUUUCAGCUGGGAAGAUAAUGACGGUACCAGCAGAAGAAGCCCCGGCUAACUCCGUG